GAUGAACGCUAGCGGCAGGCCUAACACAUGCAAGUCGAGGGGUAGAACACUUCGGUGUUUGAGACCGGCGCACGGGUGCGUAACGCGUAUGCAAUCUACCUUAUACAGGGGAAUAGCCCAGAGAAAUUUGGAUUAAUGCCCCAUAGUGUUAUAGAAUCGCAUGGUUUUAUAACUAAAGUUCCAACGGUAUAAGAUGAGCAUGCGUCCCAUUAGUUAGUUGGUAAGGUAACGGCUUACCAAGACAAUGAUGGGUAGGGGUCCUGAGAGGGAGAUCCCCCACACUGGUACUGAGACACGGACCAGACUCCUACGGGAGGCAGCAGUGAGGAAUAUUGGUCAAUGGGCGCAAGCCUGAACCAGCCAUGCCGCGUGCAGGAAGACGGUCCUAUGGAUUGUAAACUGCUUUUAUACAGGAAGAAACCUCCCUACGUGUAGGGACUUGACGGUACUGUAGGAAUAAGGAUCGGCUAACUCCGUGCCAGCAGCCGCGGUAAAACGUCUA
rnacentral:rRNA from 1 species